GGAAGGGGUGUAUUUAUUAGAUACAAAACCAAUGCCCUUCGGGGCUCCUUGGUGAUUCAUGAUAACUAUACGAAUCGCACGGCCUUGCGCCGGCGAUGGUUCAUUCAAAUUUCUCCCCUAUCAACUUUCGAUGUUUGGGUAUUGGCCAAACAUGGUUGCAACGGGUAACGGAGGGUUAGGGCUCGACCCCGGAGAAGGAGCCUGAGAAACGGCUACUACAUCCAAGGAAGGCAGCAGGCGCGCAAAUUACCCAAUCCCGACUCGGGGAGGUAGUGACAAUAAAUACUGAUACAGGGCCCUUUCGGGCCUUGUAAUUGGAAUGAGUACAAUUUAAAUCCCUUAACGAGGAACAAUUGGAGGGCAAGUCUGGUGCCAGCAGCC
rnacentral:rRNA from 1 species